GACGAACGCUGGCGGCGUGCUUAACACAUGCAAGUCGAACGGAAAGGCCCUGCUUUUGUGGGGUGCUCGAGUGGCGAACGGGUGAGUAACACGUGAGUAACCUGCCCUUGACUUUGGGAUAACUUCAGGAAACUGGGGCUAAUACCGGAUAGGAGCUCCUGCUACAUGGUGGUGGUUGGAAAGUUUCGGCGGUUGGGGAUGGACUCGCGGCUUAUCAGCUUGUUGGUGGGGUACUGGCUUACCAAGGCUUUGACGGGUAGCCGGCCUGAGAGGGUGAACGGCCACAUUGGGACUGAGAUACGGCCCAGACUCCUACGGGAGGCAGCAGUGGGGAAUAUUGCACAAUGGGCGGAAGCCUGAUGCAGCAACGCCGCGUGCGGGAUGACGGCCUUCGGGUUGUAAACCGCUUUCGCCUGUGACGAAGCGUGAGUGACGGUAAUGGGUAAAGAAGCACCGGCUAACUACGUG
rnacentral:rRNA from 1 species